GACGAACGCUGGCGGCGUGCCUAAUACAUGCAAGUUGAGCGAUGAAGAUUGGUGCUUGCACCAAUUUGAAGAGCAGCGAACGGGUGAGUAACGCGUGGGGAAUCUGCCUUUGAGCGGGGGACAACAUUUGGAAACGAAUGCUAAUACCGCAUAACAACUUUAAACAUAAGUUUUAAGUUUGAAAGAUGCAAUUGCAUCACUCAAAGAUGAUCCCGCGUUGUAUUAGCUAGUUGGUGAGGUAAAGGCUCACCAAGGCGAUGAUACAUAGCCGACCUGAGAGGGGGAUCGGCCACAUUGGGACUGGGACACGGCCCAAACUCCUACGGGAGGCAGCAGUAGGGAAUCUUCGGCAAUGGACGAAAGUCUGACCGAGCAACGCCGCGUGAGUGAAGAAGGUUUUCGGAUCGUAAAACUCUGUUGGUAGAGAAGAACGUUGGUGAGAGUGGAAAGCUCAUCAAGUGACGGUAACUACCCAGAAAGGGACGGCUAACUACGUG
rnacentral:rRNA from 1 species